GACGAACGCUGGCGGCGUGCUUAACACAUGCAAGUCGAACGAUGAAGAAGAGAAACGCGAACUUCGGUUCAAAUUUCACUUCGGAUUAGUGGCAGACGGGUGAGUAACGCGUGAGCAACCUACCUCUUACAAAGGGAUAGCCUCGGGAAACCGUGAUUAAUACCAUAUGACACAUUCAUAAGGCAUCUUAAGAAUGUUAAAGCUACGGCGGUAAGAGAUGGGCUCGCGUCCCAUUAGCUAGUUGGUGAGGUAACGGCCCACCAAGGCGACGAUGGGUAACCGGCCUGGGAGGGUGAACGGUCACAUUGGAACUGGGACACGGUGCAAACUCCUACGGGAGGCAGCAGUGGGGAAUAUUGCACAAUGGAGGGAACUCUGAUGCAGCGACGCCGCGUGGGCGAUGAAGGAAGUCGUAUCGUAAAGCUCUGUUCUAUGGGAAGAAAAGGACUGUACCAUAGGAGAAAGCCCCGGCUAAAUACGU
rnacentral:rRNA from 1 species